rnacentral:rRNA from 1 species
UACGUAGGGUGCAAGCGUUAAUCGGAAUUACUGGGCGUAAAGCGUGCGCAGGCGGUGAUGUAAGACAGGUGUGAAAUCCCCGGGCUUAACCUGGGAACUGCAUUUGUGACUGCAUAGCUAGAGUACGGCAGAGGGGGAUGGAAUUCCGCGUGUAGCAGUGAAAUGCGUAGAUAUGCGGAGGAACACCGAUGGCGAAGGCAAUCCCCUGGGCCUGUACUGACGCUCAUGCACGAAAGCGUGGGGAGCAAACAGG